ACAGGCGCUGCAUGGUUAUCAGAAGUCCGUUGCGCAAAACAGUCUAAAGCUUUAGCUUUAACUAACGGACAGCUCUCUAUCUCUAAUUAUUAGAAUAUAUUAGGGGUGCUACUUGUUUAUACUCUACAAGUGGCAAAGAACUAUGUUUAAUCCUCAUGGCCUUUAUGGGGUGGGCUUGACGUGUGUGACAGAAGUUGUAUACAAAGGGUGCCUUUAUGUAUAUAAUAGCAUUGUCCUUAAAAGCAACAAUGGUUCGGAUCGUUGCCUGCAAUUCGGCAACCUUAAGAAGGAAUGGCCAGUAAUCGUGGAUCAGCCCGUCACGGUGAAAUUUAGUCUUUUACCCUGGGUACUUACCGCCCGUCACACGCCCUAAGGGGGGUAGGCUAAAAAACUAUCUAUAUUUCCGUUUGAAAUACAACAUUUUAGCUAAACAAAAGCAGUUUAUUUCAAAUAGUCUAUAUAGGAGUAUAUAGUAUGCUCCGCGUUGGGUGUGAAGUCGUAACAUGGUCACAGUUGUGGAAAUAGCUGUGG
rnacentral:rRNA from 1 species